UACGUAGGGACCAAGCGUUGUUCGGAUUUACUGGGCGUGAAGGGCGCGUAGGCGGCGUGGUAAGUCACUUGUGAAAUCUCUGAGCUUAACUCAGAACGGCCAAGUGAUACUGCUGUGCUAGAGUGCAGAAGGGGCAAUCGGAAUUCUUGGUGUAGCGGUGAAAUGCGUAGAUAUCAAGAGGAACACCUGAGGUGAAGACGGGUUGCUGGGCUGACACUGACGCUGAGGAGCGAAAGCGUGGGGAGCGAACAGG
rnacentral:rRNA from 1 species